GAUGGAUCAUGGAGGUAGAGCACUGUUUGAACUAGGGGCCCGUCAAGGGUUACUGAAUUCAGAUAAACUCCGAAUACCAUUGAUCUUACUCCGGGAGUCAGACAGUGAGCGAUAAGGUCCAUUGUCGAAAGGGGAACAGCCCAGAUCACCAGUUAAGGUCCCUAAAUUUAUGCUAAGUGGAAAAGGAUGUGGCGUUGCACAGACAACUAGGAUGUUGGCUCAGAAGCAGCCACCAUUUAAAGAGUGCGUAAUAGCUCACUAGUCGAGUGGCACUGCGCCGAAAAUAUACCGGGGCUAAGCAUAAUACCGAAACUGUGGGUGCACCCGUCAGGGUGCGCGGUAGGAGAGCGUUCUAAGGGCGUUGAAGGUCGAUCGUGAGGACGGCUGGAGCGCUUAGAAGUGAGAAUGCCGGCAUGAGUAGCGAAAGAUCAGUGAGAAUCUGAUCCACCGUAUGACUAAGGUUUCCUGGGGAAGGCUCGUCCUCCCAGGGUUAGUCGGGAUCUAAGGCGAGGCCGCAAGGCGUAGUCGAUGACAAGCAGGUUGAGAUUCCUGCACUAGUUUAUUUUGUUUAAGCGAUGGAGGGACGCAGGAGGCUAAGGAAAGCGCACGGCUGGAAAAGUGCGUCCAAGCAGUAAGUCCGGUAGCGAGUGAAAUGCUUGCCGCCUUAAGGACAAGCUGUGAUGGGGAGCGAAAUUAAAGUAGCGAAGUUCCUGAUGUCACACUGCCAAGAAAAGCUUCUAGUGAGAAAUAAACUACCCGUACCGCAAACCGACACAGGUAGUCGAGGAGAGUAUCCUCAGGUGAGCGAGCGAACUCUCGUUAAGGAACUCGGCAAAAUGACCCCGUAACUUCGGAAGAAGGGGUGCUGACCGCAAGGUCAGCCGCAGUGAAUAGGCCCAAACAACUGUUUAUCAAAAACACAGGUCUCUGCUAAAUCGUAAGAUGAUGUAUAGGGGCUGACGCCUGCCCGGUGCUGGAAGGUUAAGAGGAUGAGUUAGCGCAAGCGAAGCCCAGAAUUGAAGCCCCAGUAAACGGCGGCCGUAACUAUAACGGUCCUAAGGUAGCGAAAUUCCUUGUCGGGUAAGUUCCGACCCGCACGAAAGGCGUAAUGAUUUGGGCACUGUCUCAACGAGAGACUCGGUGAAAUUAUAGUACCCGUGAAGAUGCGGGUUACCCGCGACAGGACGGAAAGACCCCAUGGAGCUUUACUGUAGCUUGAUAUUGAGUGUUGGUACCGCUUGUACAGGAUAGGUAGGAGCCGUAGAGAUCGGAACGCUAGUUUCGAUGGAGGCAUUGGUGGGAUACUACCCUAGCUGUAUGAACACUCUAACCCGCGCCACUGAUCGUGGCGGGAGACAGUGUCAGGUAGGCAGUUUGACUGGGGCGGUCGCCUCCUAAAAUGUAACGGAGGCGCCCAAAGGUUCCCUCAGAAUGGUUGGAAAUCAUUCGCAGAGUGUAAAGGUAGAAGGGAGCUUGACUGCGAGACUGACAAGUCGAGCAGGGACGAAAGUCGGGCUUAGUGAUCCGGUGGUUCCGUAUGGAAGGGCCAUCGCUCAACGGAUAAAAGCUACCCUGGGGAUAACAGGCUUAUCUCCCCCAAGAGUCCACAUCGACGGGGAGGUUUGGCACCUCGAUGUCGGCUCAUCGCAUCCUGGGGCUGUAGUCGGUCCCAAGGGUUGGGCUGUUCGCCCAUUAAAGCGGUACGCGAGCUGGGUUCAGAACGUCGUGAGACAGUUCGGUCCCUAUCCGUCGCGGGCGCAGGAAAUUUGAGAGGAGCUGUCCUUAGUACGAGAGGACCGGGAUGGACGUUCCGCUGGUGUACCAGUUGUGCCGCCAGGCGCAUCGCUGGGUAGCUAUGAACGGAAGGGAUAAACGCUGAAAGCAUCUAAGUGUGAAGCCCCCCUCGAGAUGAGAUUUCCCAUUCCUAUAUGGAAGUAAGACCCCUGAAAGAUGAUCAGGUAGAUAGGCUGGAAGUGGAAGUGCAGCGAUGCAUGGAGCGGACCAGUACUAAUCGGUCGAGGACUUAACCAA
rnacentral:rRNA from 1 species